CACAGAGCAUCUAUUGUUUCCUGUCAGCUGAGUGCAUGGAAAUAAAGUCUUUUAAUUGGAUUCUGAACCAGAAUUAAGUAUGCAUACAAAAGUUUCUGCUUCUCAGAAGAACCCUCUUUUCCUUGGUGGUUAAUGAGACAUGUACUACUACAAGAAUCUGGAUAGGACAGAAAGGCAGCAGUGACUGAAGAGAAGAAUCACCAAGAGGAUGGUCAAAAAUGGAAUACCUCAUUUCCAGUCCUUCUCAGCCCUUAAAUACCUUGAUAUGAUUACAUCAUUGCAGCACAUGAUAUGAAAGUGUAUUGAAGAUAGAACCAACAACAUUAUGAUCUGGUAAACUUCAAAAAGCUGGAAGAUCAACUGAAAUCUAAUAACUGGAGUACAGAUCAGAACCUUCUGGUUAUGGUGGCAGCUGCUGAGGCUACUAAGGAGUGAGCUCUGAAGGGUGACCUACUUCACUCAACCUAGGUGUAUACUAAUUAGGCACUAAAAUAUAAUGUCCUUCAAGCAACAGAGCAUUUUGUCCAUCAGCU